rnacentral:rRNA from 1 species
UACAGAGGUCUCAAGCGUUGUUCGGAGUUACUGGGCGUAAAGGGUGUGUAGGCGGUCCUCUAAGUUUGGUGUGAAAUCUCCCGGCUCAACUGGGAGGGUGCGCCGAAAACUGGAGGGCUAGAGUACUGGAUGGGAGAGUGGAAUUCCUGGUGUAGCGGUGAAAUGCGUAGAUAUCAGGAGGAACACCGGUGGCGAAGGCGGAUCUCUGGGCCAUUACUGACGCUGAGGAGCGAAAGCGUGGGGAGCGAACAGG